AGACCCGAAACCCGGUGAUCUAGCCAUGGGCAGGUUGAAGGUUGGGUAACACUAACUGGAGGACCGAACCGACUAAUGUUGAAAAAUUAGCGGAUGACCUGUGGCUGGGGGUGAAAGGCCAAUCAAACCGGGAGAUAGCUGGUUCUCCCCGAAAGCUAUUUAGGUAGCGCCUCGUGAAUUCAUCUCCGGGGGUAGAGCACUGUUUCGGCUAGGGGGCCAUCCCGGCUUACCAACCCGAUGCAAACUGCGAAUACCGGAGAAUGUUAUCACGGGAGACACACGGCGGGUGCUAACGUCCGUCGUGAAGAGGGAAACAACCCAGACCGCCAGCUAAGGUCCCAAAGUCAUGGUUAAGUGGGAAACGAUGUGGGAAGGCCCAGACAGCCAGGAUGUUGGCUUAGAAGCAGCCAUCAUUUAAAGAAAGCGUAAUAGCUCACUGGUCGAGUCGGCCUGCGCGGAAGAUGUAACGGGGCUAAACCAUGCACCGAAGCUGCGGCAGCGAACGUAUCACUUAAAGCGAUUCAGCGGGUUACGAUUGACGGAGCGAAGCGACGUCAAAGCGUAUACAAAGUCGAGUCGGUUUAAGGAUACGUUCGUUGGGUAGGGGAGCGUUCUGUAAGCCUGUGAAGGUGUGUCGUGAGGCAUGCUGGAGGUAUCAGAAGUGCGAAUGCUGACAUAAGUAACGAUAAAGCGGGUGAAAAGCCCGCUCGCCGGAAGACCAAGGGUUCCUGUCCAACGUUAAUCGGGGCAGGGUGAGUCGACCCCUAAGGCGAGGCCGAAAGGCGUAGUCGAUGGGAAACGGGUUAAUAUUCCCGUACUUGGUGUUACUGCGAAGGGGGGACGGAGAAGGCUAUGUUGGCCGGGCGACGGUUGUCCCGGUUUAAGCGUGUAGGUGUGUGUUCCAGGUAAAUCCGGUUCACUUUAACACUGAGGCGUGACGACGAGGCACUACGGUGCUGAAGCAACAAAUGCCCUGCUUCCAGGAAAAGCCUCUAAGCAUCAGGUAACAUCAAAUCGUACCCCAAACCGACACAGGUGGUCAGGUAGAGAAUACCAAGGCGCUUGAGAGAACUCGGGUGAAGGAACUAGGCAAAAUGGUGCCGUAACUUCGGGAGAAGGCACGCUGACAC
rnacentral:rRNA from 1 species